AUCCGAGGGUCCGUGCAGCAGGUCACGCUGCGCUCUCUGGGGUCCGCGCGUCGGCCCACGUGCUCCCUGCACCUCGCGGGGUGAGCGGCCAGCGUGCCGUGCCGGGUGGCUGGCUCCGCCGCUCCGGAGCCGGGAAGGACACGCGGCAGAGUCCUGCUCCCUAGCGGGUCUGCUUACAGGCGUUUGGUUUGCUUUUUAAAAUGAUUUUCUAUGCGAAAAGUGAAGUGAAAACUUCCAAGUUAAUUCCCUGGGCAAAAUGGGCAGUGCUAGCCGAGGAACGGCUGGUGGGCGGCGCGUCCGGCCCCCGGCUUCGGUUUUUCCAGCUGCACCGAGCGGGCAGGAGUCAGUGGGAAACCGCCCGCCAUCCACAGCCUGCCGUUUGCCAUCCCGGUGUCCCGAGCGCGAUGGAAGCCGGGUUGACAGUGGCACUGUUUGGAAUACAGCGCCAACCACACAUCCUGUGAGGUCCAAAGCAAACGCCAGUGUCGUUGAUCAUCGCGGUGCCCCGCGAGCCUGGGCGACGUGAGGCCCCGCGGCUGCCGCCCUGUCUUCAGGCGGAGUCCCCGCAAAUGCACUCCCGGGCCAGGGCCCUGAAGCUGCCUUAGCCCAGUGGCGCCCGGGCUCCAAGCCUUUUAAGUAGAACGGGACCUGGCCUUCGUACAGGCGUGUUGUAAAUGCUACCCCCUCGUCUCCAGCACAGAUGAGUAGACAUUACUAAGCACUUGACCCUUCAAACAUCGCCCCAACAGGAAAGGUCCGUGUGUUGCAUACAAAGGCUUUGGGGCAAGUGGUGGUGGUUAGUAAUGAAAAUGAAUGUUUCAGACGUUUUCAAAUACCUUCAUAUUGUACACGUGGAAAUCAUGACCAAGGAUUAGAACGUGCAUUCAGUAAACUACAGAAAAUCACACACAAGUCAAACGGCCGUUAUUCUGGAGCUGUUUGCUUCCAAUGGCUCAGUCCAAAAUCCUUGGUCAUGCCUGGCUCCUCUCUCUGUCCACAAUGAACACAUCCUCUUGGCUCCACUGC
rnacentral:lncRNA from 1 species